AAUCACUAACUACACGGCCAAGUA
rnacentral:miRNA from 1 species